rnacentral:rRNA from 1 species
CCUACGGGUGGCAGCAGUAGGGAAUAUUCGACAAUGAGCGAAAGCCUGAAGGAGCAAUGCAGCGUGAACGAGGAAGGUCUUCGGAUCGUAAAGUUCUGUUGAAGGGGAAAAAGAGCGGAGAGAGGAAAUGCUUUCUGAUUGAUAUUACCCUUCGAGAAAGUCACGGCUAACUACGUGCCAGCAGCCGCGGUAAUACGUAGGUGGCAAGCGUUAUCCGGAAUUAUUGGGCGUAAAGCGUGCGUAGGCGGCCUGCUAAGUCUGGAGUGAAAGGUAGCGGCUCAACCGGGACAGGCUCUGGAUACUGGCUGACUAGAGAUCAGGAGAGGGCGGUGGAACUCCAUGUGAAGCGGUGAAAUGCGUAGAUAUAUGGAAGAACACCAGUGGAGAAGGCGGCCGCCUGGCCUGUUACUGACGCUGAGGCACGAAAGCGUGGGGAGCAAAUAGGAUUAGAUACCCGGGUAGUC